rnacentral:rRNA from 1 species
AGUGAACGCUGGCGGUAGGCCUAACACAUGCAAGUCGAACGGCAGCACAGUAAGAGCUUGCUCUUACGGGUGGCGAGUGGCGGACGGGUGAGGAAUACAUCGGAAUCUACUUUUUCGUGGGGGAUAACGUAGGGAAACUUACGCUAAUACCGCAUACGACCUACGGGUGAAAGCAGGGGAUCUUCGGACCUUGCGCGAUUGAAUGAGCCGAUGUCGGAUUAGCUAGUUGGCGGGGUAAAUGCCCACCAAGGCGACGAUCCGUAGCUGGUCCGAGUGGAUGAUCAGCCACACUGGAACUGAGACACGGUCCAGACUCCUACGGGAGGCAGCAGUGGGGAAUAUUGGACAAUGGGCGCAAGCCUGAUCCAGCCAUACCGCGUGGGUGAAGAAGGCCUUCGGGUUGUAAAGCCCUUUUGUUGGGAAAGAAAAGCAGCAGGUUAAUACCCCGCUGUUCUGACGGUACCCAAAGAAUAAGCACCGGCUAACUUCGUG